GGUGAACGCUGGCGGCGUGCUUAAGACAUGCAAGUCGAACGGCAGUCUUCGGACUGUAGUGGCGCACGGGUGAGUAACGCGUAACUGACCUACCCCAAAGUCGCGGAUAACGAUUCGAAAGAAUCGCUAAUACGUGAUGUGCUGUCAGAUUGUGUUCUGCCAGUAAAGAUUGAUUGCUUUGGGAUGGGGUUGCGUUCCAUCAGCUAGUUGGUGGGGUAAAGGCCCACCAAGGCGACGACGGAUAGCCGGCCUGAGAGGGUGGCCGGCCACAGGGGCACUGAGACACGGGUCCCACUCCUACGGGAGGCGGCAGUUAGGAAUCUUCCACAAUGGGCGAAAGCCUGAUGGAGCGACGCCGCGUGAGGGAUGAAGGUCUUCGGAUCGUAAACCUCUGAAUCAGGGACGAAAGACACUUCGGUGGGAUGACGGUACCUGAGUAAUAGCACCGGCUAACUCCGUGCCAGCCGCCGCAGUAACAC
rnacentral:rRNA from 1 species